UACGUAGGGAGCUAGCGUUGUUCGGAAUCACUGGGCGUAAAGCGCACGUAGGCGGAUGUGUCAGUCAGGGGUGAAAUCCCGGAGCUCAACUUCGGAACUGCCUUUGAUACAGCACGUCUUGAGUCCGGAAGAGGUGGGUGGAAUUCCUAGUGUAGAGGUGAAAUUCGUAGAUAUUAGGAAGAACACCGGUGGCGAAGGCGGCCCACUGGUCCGGUACUGACGCUGAGGUGCGAAAGCGUGGGGAGCAAACAGG
rnacentral:rRNA from 1 species